CUGACCCCAUGCCGAACUCAGAAGUGAAACGCCGUAGCGCCGAUGGUAGUGUGGGGUCUCCCCAUGCGAGAGUAGGGAACUGCCAGGC
rnacentral:rRNA from 69 species